CAGUCGCCACGGUAAUACAGAGGGUGCGAGCGUUAAUCGGAUUUACUGGGCGUAAAGCGUGCGUAGGCGGCUUUUUAAGUCGAAUGUGAAAUCCCUGAGCUUAACUUAGGAAUUGCAUUCGAUACUGGGAAGCUAGAGUAUGGGAGAGGAUGGUAGAAUUCCAGGUGUAGCGGUGAAAUGCGUAGAGAUCUGGAGGAAUACCGAUGGCGAAGGCAGCCAUCUGGCCUAAUACUGACGCUGAGGUACGAAAGCAUGGGGAGCAAACAGGAUUAGAUACCCCCGUAGUCCCUGUCUCUUAUAC
rnacentral:rRNA from 1 species